rnacentral:tRNA from 3 species
CUCCGUGUAGCUCAGUUUGGUAGAGCGCCUGAUUUGGGAUCAGGAGGUCCAAGGUUCAAAUCCUUGUAUGGAGACUG